UCCAAUUUCAUUACAAAAGACAACAUAUAGAAAGGCAUAGAAAAACCUAUAUCCCUGAAAUAUACAAACGUCGGAAAGUUAUUGUUAGAUCGAAUGAAGGCUAAACCCGACUUUGUCGGUCAGUUAAAUGGCAAAUAGAAUGCUGAAAUAAAGGUAUUCUAAAAAGUACGACUUAUCUAGCGUUGAGAUUAUCUUUAUUCCUAGUGGUAUAUUUAACGUGGAAAAUCAAAGAAUGCUUAAGGAAAACUUGAUUAAUGCAACGAUUAUACAAAUUUACAGAAUGACCGAAGUGUGUGGUUCUAUAACAAUUCAAAUGCCAUACCACAAACUGGAAUCAGUUGGUAUGGUAUCUAAAAACGUUCAAAUCAAGAUCAUCGAUAUAGAAACCGAAAAUACAUUGCGUCCAAACAAGAUUGGUGAACUUCUAAUAAAAUCGCUAACAAUAACUAAGAAUUAUUACAAUAAUCCAUAGCCAACCAAAGAUGCGAUCGACGAUGAUGGUAACCGAACGAGAACUUUCAGAAUUGAUAGCGAAAAAUAUGACCAAGUGUAAUCAUCUACGUGUGGGUGUGUUAUUUUUAGAAAAAAUGCCUUAUACGCCCUCUGAGAAAAUAUCAAGGAAAAAGCUCAAAGCCAUCGCUAAAAGCCAUUUUUGCAAAUGAUCAUUAUCGUUAAAAUUGUUGAUUAAUCGAUAGUUGGACAUAUUUUUGGAAUCAAAGAAUGUAUAAACAGAAUUGUGACAAUAUUAAAUAUCAUUGUGUUAUA